UUUUCAGAUUUUAGAGCCAAAGAACAUUUUCCAGGGGAGACUGGCCACCUUGGCAACCAAGAUCCUGACCCAUAACCACAGACUGGAGUACUGGUGGGCCACAGUCCUCAAAUACCUGCUUAAGACAGGUUGUAAAAGUUAACAUGAACAAACUACGGCAGAGUUUCAGGAGAAAGAAAGAUGUUUACGUCCCAGAGGCCAGCCGUCCACAUCAGUGGCAGACAGAUGAAGAGGGAGUCCGCACUGGAAAGUGCAGCUUCCCAGUUAAGUACCUUGGCCACGUAGAGGUUGAUGAGUCAAGAGGAAUGCACAUCUGUGAAGAUGCCGUCAAAAGAUUGAAAGCUACGGGAAAGAAAGCAGUGAAGGCCGUUCUGUGGGUAUCAGCAGAU
rnacentral:lncRNA from 1 species